rnacentral:rRNA from 1 species
UACGUAGGGACCAAGCGUUGUUCGGAUUUACUGGGCGUAAAGGGCGCGUAGGCGGCUUGUCAAGUCACUUGUGAAAUCUCUGAGCUUAACUCAGAACGGCCAAGUGAAACUGACAUGCUAGAGUGCAGAAGGGGCAAUCGGAAUUCUUGGUGUAGCGGUGAAAUGCGUAGAUAUCAAGAGGAACACCUGAGGUGAAGACGGGUUGCUGGGCUGACACUGACGCUGAGGCGCGAAAGCCAGGGGAGCAAACGGG